rnacentral:lncRNA from 1 species
GAGGGAGAUGAGCUGCAGCUGCAGCUAGGAUGCCUGUGUGGAAAGUGUCUGCUAGACACAGAACACAAAUAGUUCCUGCAUUUCUAAAAGGCCCAACUGCCGCACUUGGCAUUAGUGAAGGGUAAGGAGCUGAGGAAAAGGGACAGCUCUAGGACCAGUUUGGGUGUGUGAGAAGUUAAACUACCACCGCAGGGAGCAGGAAGCAAGCGUAGCAGGUGGGAUAGCAAGCUGGUGGAGGAGGGGCUGCCACAGGCGGUUGACACAGACAAAGCAGGAAACUCCGAGGGAUCUCCCAUGGAAGCUGAGCAUCUUGAGGGCCCAACCUGGCAGAUGUGCUUACCGCUAGUCUCAGCCGUUGGGAUAAAAGGUCAUUUGGUAACCAUCCUGGGAUGUUAUCUGCUGGGAAGAUAAACAAAUUCACUGUGAACUGCCUGAGGAAGGAUCGAGUACUUAAGGGGUCAGACCGCAAGGCUUAAAUGCAAAUUCACUGCAGGACAAGAGUCCCAGCUGGAUCUUCCUGAUACACCUGGAGACACUGGCUCCAGGCUUCACUACUGAGCCCAGAAUGGAGCCAUGGGAGACUGGUGGAAAGCUGGCAGGUUCUCGCCCCUUUGGCUGUUGGACUUUGCCUGGCCGUCCCAUCAGUUCUCUGAGGAAGCAGGACAGGGAGAGCCUAGUCAAGCUGGCUUAGACCAUCCAUACUGAGGUGGAGCCACCUGCUGUGCUGUUUCUCAUCCCUCUCCUUUGAUAUGCCACUACCUGCUACCUGCCUGAGGGCGAACUGGUUCUCCAAGAUCUUCCGGAGUUAGCUUCCGAACUGUGAUCUUUGAGAGUUCCUACUAAAAGGCUGAUUUGACAACUUCAAAGGAACUUUGUGUGACUGGGAAUGGGCCUCCCCUCUUCUUUAUAAAGCGUGUUCGCUUUAAACAUUAAAAUUGAACCUUGAUC